AGUGAACGCUGGCGGCAGGCCUAACACAUGCAAGUCGAACGGCAGCACAGGAGAGCUUGCUCUCUGGGUGGCGAGUGGCGGACGGGUGAGGAAUAUAUCGGAAUCUACUCUUUCGUGGGGGAUAACGUAGGGAAACUUACGCUAAUACCGCAUACGAACUGAGGUUGAAAGCGGCGGACCGCAUGGCGUCGCGCGGAUGGAUGAGCCGAUAUCCGAUUAGCUAGUUGGCGGGGUAAAGGACCACCAAGGCGACGAUCGGUAGCUGGUCUGAGAGGAUGAUCAGCCACACUGGAACUGAGACACGGUCCAGACUCCUACGGGAGGCAGCAGUGGGGAAUAUUGGACAAUGGGCGCAAGCCUGAUCCAGCCAUGCCGCGUGUGUGAAGAAGGCCUUCGGGUUGUAAAGCACUUUUGUUGGGAAAGAAAAGCGGUCGGUUAAUACCCGGUCGUUCUGACGGUACCCAAAGAAUAAGCACCGGCUAACUUCGUGCCAGCCGCCGCAGUAA
rnacentral:rRNA from 1 species